UACGUAGGGUGCGAGCGUUGUCCGGAAUUAUUGGGCGUAAAGAGCUUGUAGGCGGUUUGUCGCGUCUGACGUGAAAGCCCAGGGCUUAACCCUGGGUCUGCGGUGGGUACGGGCAGGCUAGAGUGUGGUAGGGGAGACUGGAAUUCCUGGUGUAGCGGUGAAAUGCGCAGAUAUCAGGAGGAACACCGAUGGCGAAGGCAGGUCUCUGGGCCGUUACUGACGCUGAGGAGCGAAAGCGUGGGGAGCGAACAGG
rnacentral:rRNA from 1 species